GUAACAAAUGCCCUGCUUCCAGGAAAAGCCUCUAAGCAUCAGGUAACAUUAAAUCGUACCCCAAACCGACACAGGUGGUCAGGUAGAGAAUACCAAGGCGCUUGAGAGAACUCGGGUGAAGGAACUAGGCAAAAUGGUGCCGUAACUUCGGGAGAAGGCACGCUGGUGUGUAGGUGAAGUCCCUGCGGAUGGAGCUGAGACCAGUCGAAGAUACCAGCUGGCUGCAACUGUUUAUUAAAAACAUAGCACUCUGCAAACACGAAAGUGGACGUAUACGGUGUGACGCCUGCCCGGUGCCGGAAGGUUAAUUG
rnacentral:rRNA from 1 species